UCACGUUUUCCAGUGUAUGUACAUAGACAUCCUGUCAAAGGUCCGUGUUUCUUACGCUAGAGAUAAAUUUCUGUCACCCUAAUCACUCUUUUUGUUUUGGAAAGGAUCAAAAAGCAUAUCAAAUUACCGGUGCGUCCAACCAAACUGAUCUUAUCCUUGCCGGGAGCGAUGAUCACAGGCAGAUGAUCUUAUCCUUCUUUCAACUGCAGAAUCUAAUGGAGCAACCCCAAUGGAUUUUUAAGCAUGGCCAUCCCUUUCUGGGCCCAGGCUGUGAACCAGUCCAGCCGUGGUUGCAGCCAGCUGAUACUCCUUCCCCAGAGGAUGGUUCCAGAAUAUGCCGGACAGAAAAAGGAUGUGGACACCUGACCUUAGUGAGGUUAAGAGGAAGAUCCCUGACUGAAUUCCCAAAGAUCUGGAGCUUACCCUCAUUGUCCA